GUGUGGGAACUCACCCAGCGCAUCCGACUGCAGGGACAAUGCUGAGGAGACCCCCCUGACUCAAAGGAAAUAGACUGCAGCACUGAUUGGAUGACUUUGGGUAAGUGGUGGGGUACCCAGGUAAAGAAUGGGAUUGGGAUAGACGCUCAAGUUAGGGGAGUUAGAGUCUCUCCUAAGGCAGAGUGGAUUAGAGGCCCCUCUUAAUAAAAGGCAAGGACGCUUGACUGACCUUGGGUUAGAGGCCCAACUUAGGAGGAUUAGAGUCCCUUCUAAGAUUUAGGGGGUUAGAGACCCCUCUCAGUAAAGUCCCUCUUGGCUAAGAAGAGGUUUGGCACCGUGGGAUGUUAACUGCUAUUGUCUUUGGAUUAAUCUGCCUUGCACUCUUUGCUGAUGGCUCCGGGCGACAGGGUUAGGCGUGUACAGGAUCGUGGGACAUGGGGAGCUUUUUCCUCCCCCAAAAGGGGAAACUUGAGAGCUGA
rnacentral:lncRNA from 10 species